rnacentral:rRNA from 1 species
CAAUAGCGUAUAUUAAAGUUGUUGCAGUUAAAAAGCUCGUAGUUGGAUUUCUGGCAGGAGCGACCGGUCGCACGCUAUGCGUGUGAACUUGUGUUGUCUCUGGCCAUCCUUGGGGAGAUCCCGUUUGGCAUUAAGUUGUCGGGCGGGGGAUACCCAUCGUUUACUGUGAAAAAAUUAGAGUGUUUAAAGCAGGCUUAUGCCGUUGAAUAUAUUAGCAUGGAAUAAUAAGAUAGGACUUUGGAACUAUUUUGUUGGUCUCGGGACGGGAGUAAUGAUUAAGAGGAACAGUUGGGGGCAUUCGUAUUUCAUUGUCAGAGGUGAAAUUCUUGGAUUUAUGAAAGACGAACUUCUGCGAAAGCAUUUGCCAAGGAUGUUUUCAUUAAUCAAGAACGAAAGUUGGGGGCUCGAAGACGAUCAGAUACCA